UCCCUGGUUGUCUAGUGGUAAGGAUUGGCGCUCUCACGCGCGCGCGCCGGGUUCGAUUCCGGUCAGGGAA